AGAAGAGUCCUGUUCAUCCAUCCCCAUGUUUUUGUCCCUAAAAUUCUUUUUUUCAAUUCUACUCCAUUUUCUUUCAAUUUUUCACCCAAUUUGCUAGCCCAUCUCAUCCAAGUCCUUUCCCUAGUUAAAUAUUCAAGGUAGGAGGAAGAAUCAAGGAGAAAAUUCAAGGUGGAGGGAGAGGAAAUAGUAACUAAAUAUUGAAAAUUUUAAAGAAGUGGAAAGGAAGAGUGGAAGUUCCAAAGGGAAAGGAAAGGAAGAGUAGAGAACUAAAGCUUGUAGAAUAUUUUGGAAGGUCUAAGGCUGUAGAUUCAAGGAACAGUAGAUCAAGAUCUGCAUCAACCCAGUAAGAGUUACAUCAUUGACUAUCUUGGGGUAUAUUUUAUAAAUUUUAUAUAAAGUUAAUUUUGGAAAUAUGGCAUGUACAUGUAUUAGAGAUAAAGUUGUAUAUGGUUUGAAUUAGAUAUAUUUAAAUAUUUUAAUUUUGAUGUAAA